rnacentral:rRNA from 1 species
UACGAAGGGGCUAGCGUUGUUCGGAAUUACUGGGCGUAAAGCGCACGUAGGCGGAUUGUUAAGUUAGGGGUGAAAUCCCAGGGCUCAACCCUGGAACUGCCUUUAAUACUGGCAAUCUCGAGUCCGAGAGAGGUGAGUGGAAUUCCGAGUGUAGAGGUGAAAUUCGUAGAUAUUCGGAGGAACACCAGUGGCGAAGGUGGACUCACUGGCUCGGUACGUGACGCUGAGGUGCGAAAGCGUGGGGAGCGAACGAGGAAUUGAUGAAACCCC